rnacentral:rRNA from 1 species
GAUCCUGGCUCAGGAUGAACGCUAGCGGCAGGCUUAAUACAUGCAAGUCGUGGGGCAGCAGGUUUGUAGCAAUACAGAUGCUGGCGACCGGCAAACGGGUGCGGAGCACGUACAGAACCUUCCUUUGAGCGGGGAAUAGCCCAGAGAAAUUUGGAUUAAUACCCCAUAGUAUAAUGAAGUGGCAUCACUUUAUUAUUAAAGAUUUAUCACUCGAAGAUGGCUGUGCGGCUGAUUAGGUAGUUGGCGGGGUAAAGGCCCACCAAGCCUGCGAUCAGUAACUGGUGUGAGAGCACGACCAGUCACACGGGCACUGAGACACGGGCCCGACUCCUACGGGAGGCAGCAGUAAGGAAUAUUGGUCAUGGAGGCAACUCUGAACCAGCCAUGCCCGCGUGGAGGAUGAAGGUCCUCUGGAUUGUAAACCUCUUUUAUAUGGGACGAAAAAGGCUUUUCUAAGUCGUCUGACGGUACCAUAUGAAUAAGCACCGGCUAACUCCGUG